AUUGAACGCUGGCGGCAGGCCUAACACAUGCAAGUCGAACGAGUGGCGGACGGGUGAGUAAUGUCUGGGAAACUGCCUGAUGGAGGGGGAUAACUACUGGAAACGGUAGCUAAUACCGCAUACCAUCAGAUGUGCCCAGAUGGGAUUAGCUUGUUGGGGGGGUCACGGCUCACCAAGGCGACGAUCCCUAGCUGGGCUGAGAGGAGGACCAGCCACACGGGAACGGAGACACGGUCCAGACUCCUACGGUAGGCAGCAGUGGGGAAUAUUGCACAAUGGGCGAAAGCCUGAUGCAGACAUGCCGCGUGUAUGAAGAAGGCCUUCGGGUUGAAAAGUACUUUCAGCGGGGAGGCGUUACCCGAAGAAGAAGCACCGGCUAACUCCGUGCCAGCCGCCGCGGUAAUAC
rnacentral:rRNA from 1 species